GCCAUGGAAGGAGAAGGAGUUGCCAUGGAUGGAGCCGCUGUUUUGGGGGCAAGUGGGGAGGAGGUUGAGAUAUUUGAGGAUUUCUGAAAACGUAGGAGGGAAACAUUGCACUAGUACUAAAAAUUUGAAGCACAACCUUGGCGGGAUGUAGUGGGUCCCACCUGUCCUUUUUAUUUUGGGAGCGUUCGACUGGACUUAUAAGCCGCUGAAAAGCUGAAACGGAUGAUUUGUUGUGAGAGAAAAAUAUUGUUCGGGGGCUGAUAAGCUAGCUGAUAAACACUGUUCGUAGUUUUUUGCACUCAUGUUUGGUUUCAACAAACCUAUCUACAAUUUGCACUCAUGUUUGGUUUCAACAAACCUAUCUACAGUUUUAUCUAAAUUUGUGCAUUUAUUAUUCAUGAAUGUGGGUUGGAG
rnacentral:lncRNA from 1 species